GGAUUGUAAACUCCUGUUGUUGGGGAAGAUAAUGACGGUACCCAACAAGGAAGUGACGGCUAACUACGUGCCAGCAGCCGCGGUAAAACGUAGGUCACAAGCGUUGUCCGGAAUUACUGGGUGUAAAGGGAGCGCAGGCGGGAAGACAAGUUGGAAGUGAAAUCUAUGGGCUCAACCCAUAAACUGCUUUCAAAACUGUUUUUCUUGAGUAGUGCAGAGGUAGGCGGAAUUCCCGGUGUAGCGGUGGAAUGCGUAGAUAUCGGGAGGAACACCAGUGGCGAAGGCGGCGUACUGGGCACCAACUGACGCUGAGGCUCGAAAGUGUGGGUAGCAAACAGGAUUAGAUACCCUGGUAGUCCACACCGUAAACGAUGAUUACUAGGUGUUGGAGGAUUGACCCCUUCAGUGCCGCAGUUAACACAAUAAGUAAUCCACCUGGGGAGUA
rnacentral:rRNA from 1 species